UACGUAGGGUGCAAGCGUUUAAUCGGAAUUACUGGGCGUAAAGCGUGCGCAGGCGGUUUUGUAAGUCAGAUGUGAAAUCCCCGGGCUUAACCUGGGGAACUGCGUUUGAAACUACAAGGCUAGAGUGUGACAGAGGGGGGUGGAAUUCCACGUGUAGCAGUGAAAUGCGUAGAGAUGUGGAGGAACACCGAUGGCGAAGGCAGCCCCCUGGGUUAACACUGACGCUCAGGCACGAAAGCGUGGGGAGCAAACAGG
rnacentral:rRNA from 1 species